rnacentral:rRNA from 1 species
CGCGGCCUAUCAGCUUGUUGGUGAGGUAAUGGCUCACCAAGGCGACGACGGGUAGCCGGCCUGAGAGGGUGACCGGCCACACUGGGACUGAGACACGGCCCAGACUCCUACGGGAGGCAGCAGUGGGGAAUAUUGCACAAUGGGCGCAAGCCUGAUGCAGCAACGCCGCGUGAGGGAUGACGGCCUUCGGGUUGUAAACCUCUUUUAGUAGGGAAGAAGCGAAAGUGACGGUACCUGCAGAAAAAGCACCGGCUAACUACGUGCCAGCAGCCGCGGUAAUACGUAGGGUGCAAGCGUUGUCCGGAAUUAUUGGGCGUAAAGAGCUCGUAGGCGGCUUGUCGCGUCUGCUGUGAAAACCCGAGGCUCAACCUCGGGCCUGCAGUGGGUACGGGCAGGCUAGAGUGCGGUAGGGGAGAUUGGAAUUCCUGGUGUAGCGGUGGAAUGCGCAGAUAUCAGGAGGAACACCGAUGGCGAAGGCAGAUCUCUGGGCCGUAACUGACGCUGAGGAGCGAAAGCAUGGGGAGCGAACAGGAUUAGAUACCCUGGUAGUCCAUGCCGUAAACGUUGGGAACUAGAUGUAGGGCCUGUUCCACGGGUUCUGUGUCGUAGCUAACGCAUUAAGUUCCCCGCCUGGGGAGUACGG